UCUCCGUAGGUGAACCUGCGGAGGGAUCAUUACAGAGUUCAUGCCCUACCGGGUAGAUCUCCCACCCUAUGUUAUUAUUACUUUGUUGCUUUGGCGGGCCGUUAGGCUCCGGCCCGACUACCGGCCCCGGCUGGUAAGCGCCCGCCAGAGGACCCAAAACCCUGAAUAUUAGUGUCGUCUGAGUACUAUAUAAUAGUUAAAACUUUCAACAACGGAUCUCUUGGUUUUG
rnacentral:misc_RNA from 1 species